UACGGAGGGUGCGAGCGUUGUCCGGAAUCACUGGGCGUAAAGGGCGCGUAGGCGGCCCUGGCAGUCGGUGGUGAAAGCCCGUGGCUCAACUACGGGUCGGCCACCGAUACUCCAGGGCUCGAGUUUGGUAGAGGCAGAUGGAAUUCCGGGUGUAGCGGUGGAAUGCGUAGAGAUCCGGAAGAACACCGGUGGCGAAGGCGG
rnacentral:rRNA from 1 species